ACUUGAGGAGUUUGCUUUUCUUACCCUUGACCUUUUAAGUAUAAAAAGGUUAUUUGGUAGUUGCUAUGAAAAUUGUUAAUCUUGAGAAUAACAACAUGAGAGCUGAAUUUUGUCAGAUUAUGCUGGAGAAGCAACAGAAUACUGUAUUCCUUUAAACAGCAACUGUACAAAGUCAACAAUGCCAAGAGAAUUGCAGGAGAAAUGGCUACAUCCUGGUGAAAACCAAACUGAAAUGAACUUCUCAUACUCUGUCCUGUUCCCGCCUCCAAACAAAAGAGAGAGAAUGACAAACUGGGGCCUUUUCAUCCGCUAACCAUCAAAGAUUAGAGAUGCAGCUCAAAGUUGCAAUAUUUAUUGAAUGGGACCAGUGAUGGAAUGAUAUCUGCAAGCAACAUAUUGAAAUGGGUUUUAUUUAUAUUACGGUACUAUGACGCUUCUGGACAGACUCUGGGGUACCAGAAACAGUUUGCACGCUCUUCAUCUUUACAGAACAAGUCAAGCAGAGCUAUUAACUAGAUAAGGGGAAAGGAAUAAACAACCUCCACCUCCCUACCCUACAAUAAAUUAUCUCCUUUAUCUCCAAUCCAUAAAAGCAACUCUGCACAGACAUUUCUUCCUUUG